UACCCUGGGUUCCGGGCAGGGGUGGAACUGGAUUCUGCCUGGAUGGGGAUCGGAUGGGGGUGGAGGUUUGAUUUGGGAAGCAGAGCACAGCAGCCCAAAUUUGUUGUAAUGGCGGCGGCUACAGGUUUCCUAGGUGUCCCCUGGGCUAGAGAAUGCUGCGUUUGCUACGCCGGGUCAGGACUUGGCAUAUGGCAUAAGACACACAGAGAGAGCCUUGCUGGUGUAGCUGAGAUUUACGACCCUCAUCCAACCAAACCAUUUCAGAUUCUUGGGGCUCAGAGCUCUCAUCGGAAAGACAUCUAUUCUGGGAGCAGGUAUAUCUCUUGCUGAGCAUGUGCUUCCACCCUGGAGGUGUCUUGGGUGAGCAUAGGUACCCUUGUGACUAUGAAGAUUGACAAAAAGUUGACGGCAACGAUGAAUUCUCUUCCAGAACUUACAUCCCAGAAGGCCCUCCCCUACUUCGGGUCUCCCUAGAGAGUGGAGAGACCUGCUGCCCUUGAAGAAGCAAACAGCCAUGUUGUGAGCUGCCUAAGCCUCUAGGUCUUGAGGGAAGCUUACAGUUAAGAGCCAGCAAAAGCCAGGGCCCUCAGUCAUGCCACACAAGGAAACGAAUCCUGCCAGCAACUAUGGGGGCUUGGAAGAGGAUAUUAAGCUUCAGUUGAGAAUGCAGCCUGACUGACACCAUCAUUGCAGCCUUGUGAGACCCCAAUCAGAGGACCCAGCUGAGCUGUACCCAGACUCCUAACCCACGGAAACUGAGAAAAUAAAUGUGUGCUAUUU
rnacentral:lncRNA from 1 species